AUUGAACGCUGGCGGCAGGCCUAACACAUGCAAGUCGAACGGUAACAGGGAUCCGCUUGCUGAUUCGCUGACGAGUGGCGGCCGGGUGAGUAAUGUCUGGGAAACUGCCUGAUGGAGGGGGAUAACUACUGGAAACGGUAGCUAAUACCGCAUAACGUCGCAAGACCAAAGAGGGGGACCUUCGGGCCUCUUGCCAUCGGAUGUGCCCAGAUGGGAUUAGCUAGUAGGUGGGGUAACGGCUCACCUAGGCGACGAUCCCUAGCUGGUCUGAGAGGAUGACCAGCCACACUGGAACUGAGACACGGUCCAGACUCCUACGGGAGGCAGCAGUGGGGAAUAUUGCACAAUGGGCGCAAGCCUGAUGCAGCCAUGCCGCGUGUAUGAAGAAGGCCUUCGGGUUGUAAAGUACUUUCAGCGGGGAGGAAGGGAGUAAAGUUAAUACCUUUGCUCAUUGACGUUACCCGCAGAAGAAGCACCGGCUAACUCCGUG
rnacentral:rRNA from 1 species